GUCGUUUUAGUCUCUUCUUUUGCUGUUCCUCUACCGCAUCGCUGCGUGGCUUCUAACAAAUUUUCUAAAUUUAUUAACGUUUUUUGGCCUUUUUCUAUGUUAGAAGUCUCGCAGCCUAUGCCACGUUGGUUUAUCUUCGUAUCAUCAUUUAACCUCUUAUUCAGUUACCGGUCUUCAACCAUUUUUAUCCCGUUUGACCUUCAAAAAUUUUAUUACGCAUAUUUUUAAAAAAGUUUUUCAACAUGUUCACAUCUUUAAUAUUUUUCUAUAUCGGAUUUUUUCUCGCUCGUGUACAACUCUAAAUUUUGACUUUUCGACUGAAGAUGAGGUAACACCUCGAAACUAGUAUCGAAGUAAAAUAACAAUAAAUUGC